CUUGCUCACCUAAAUUUAUCUACAUUUUCUAUGAAUUGAAAUAGCUUAGAAAUGUAUGUUGUCUGUGUAUUAUAGUGUAAGUUAUUGCAAUAUAGAAAUAUGGACUUUCUUUAACUCCCAUUUGCUGCCUAGGAAAUACCAAUAUUUUCUAAGCAUGGCAAGUGUUUCCAAGCAUUCAGAAGUGGAGAGUGUAGGAAAUCCACUGCAGAAUGAGGUCUGCUUGUCAUCCUCUCAGUCUCAACUGCUCUCCCUCCUUCAUCGCUCUCUGUUUCAUUGGAGGCUCCCUCACCCUCUGGCUUCAGGUUAGGUUCAGCCUGUGGAGAACCCUGUAAGAAGGCAGAAAGGAAGAGGAGAAAAGGGUCACGGUGUUUAUUCGUGUUUAUUCUGUUGGUCUCUUCUCCAUGAGGCUGUCUUCCCUACAUGUGUCUCUUUACAGAAGGUUACUUUUGUUCUCCAGGUGGUCUGAUCUUCUACUCCUUCUUUUUCCAGGUUUUGUUUUUAUCCUCACUGAGCGCCAGUUCCAGAUUUAUUGCUUACAAUUCUUUCAUGCUCCUUCCUUUGUAUGGAAGCAUUCCUCAAAUUAUUCUUAGUUGUAUUUACCAACUGUUUUCUGUUGAAAUUCUGACUAAUCCAGAAUAUAAAACUUUAUAGAGUCCAGUCAUUCUUUGCCAUGUUCUGUUUCCCCCCAUCUCUGUGGCUAUGAAAACAUGUAUCAAAUAUUUUACCUGACUCGCAGGAAGGGGAAGUCCCACUGCUUUGCCUGUUUUGGAUAGGUGGCAUCAGUUAAACUAAACCUUUCAUAAACUACUGAUACAUCAGUGGUUUCUUGUUACAUAGAAUGAACAGUAUUCACCAGAAUAAUAUCCUGACUAGCAAACACAUCAAUUGCCACUCAAUGUUCUAAGUGUUAUGAGUAAAAUAAAAACUGAAUAAAGAUUUUGCCCUCAGGAUGUUUAUGUUCUCCUACGUGAGAAAGAUAAUUAAAAAUACAAAAUAUAAUAUCAAUUUUUGAAUCAUAAGUGUUACGCAGAAAGUGAAUUAGGGUAAAUUUCCAUGCUUGUAGUUUUGCUUAUGGUUUACUAUUUGUAUUCAUUUUUUAGGACUGUCAUACAAAAUACCACAAACUGGGUAGCUUAAAACAUCAAAAGCUUAUUCUCUCAGUUUUGGAGGUCAGAAAUUCAAAAUCAAGAUGUUAGCAAUACCAUGCUCCCUCUGAAACCUGAAGGAGAGAAUCUUUCUUUACCUCUUGUUUUCAGGUGCCAGUUAUCAAUUCUUGGCACAUUUUUUGGCAGGCAACUGCAUCAGUUUGUGACUCUGUCAUCACAGGACAUUCUCCCUAUAUGUAUGUAUCUCUGUGCCCAAUUCUUAUAAGGACAGCACUCACCUGACCUCAUCUUAACUAGUGACAUCUGCAAUAGCUCUAUUAUCAAAUAAGUUCACAUUUUAAGGUACUGGAGUUUAGCACUUCAUUGUAUCUUUUGAAGAGACACAAUUAAGCUCAUAUGUAAUAAAUAUUAGUAUUCAAAUUAAGUAUAUCCUACACUUAAAAUAUACUGAUAAAAUAAUUUGUAAUUUCUAAAGACCUCAUAAUCAUACAAUCAAUAUUUAUAACAGAUUUCUCUUCAUUUUGUUAUCUAUAAAUCUGUAUUUUUGUUUUUAGUUACAACCAUGACAUCCCCAGAAAGCUUUUCUAUACAGAGAAGUGGCUCUGAAACUGUUAUCAACAUCUAAACUUUUGUAAAAAUUGAAACUAUUGUAAUUUCAAUUUACCUGAAGAAUGUUUUCUUUUGAUGUAUUUGAAUUGAGUAUCCCUGUGAUUGACAGGAUGAAAUGUUUAUGAAAUAGAUCAAUAUUGCUCAUUGUGAUAUUCAUCAUUGAAUAAUUAUAUUUUUAUUUUGUCAAUUCUGAGUUAUUUGGAAACAAAAAUCCACAGAAUGUUACCUUAUAUAAAUAUGUUAAUACAUUCUUGAUUAUUAAUAAAUCUGUU
rnacentral:lncRNA from 10 species